CCUGACACACAGGAAUGACCUCUUCAUGACACCUUCAUGAAGCUUUAACUACAAUCACCUCUGAGGUUCAAACUACGUCCACCUCCGAGGUUCACACAUCCUGAC